rnacentral:rRNA from 1 species
GACGAACGCUGGCGGCGUGCUUAACACAUGCAAGUCGAACGGGAAGGCCCCUUUGGGGGUACUCGAGUGGCGAACGGGUGAGUAACACGUGAGUAACCUGCCCUUGACUUCGGGAUAACUUCAGGAAACUGGGGCUAAUACCGGAUAGGAAUCCUUGCUGCAUGGUGGGGGUUGGAAAGCUUCGGCGGUUUUGGAUGGCCUCGCGGCUUAUCAGCUUGUUGGUGGGGUAGUGGCUUACCAAGGCUUUGACGGGUAGCCGGCCUGAGAGGGCGACCGGCCACAUUGGGACUGAGAUACGGCCCAGACUCCGACGGGAGGCAGCAGUGGGGAAUAUUGCACAAUGGGAGGAAGCCUGAUGCAGCACCGCCGCGUGCGGGAUGACGGCGUUCGGGUUGUAAACCGCUUUCAGCAGGGGCGAAGCUUGUGGUGACGGUACCUGCAGAAGAAGCACCGGCUAACUACGUG